CAGCAGCCGCGGUAAUCCGUAGGUGGCAAGCGUUGUCCGGAAUUAUUGGGCGUAAAGGGCUCGCAGGCGGUUUCUUAAGUCUGAUGUGAAAGCCCCAGGCUCAACCGGGGAGGGUCAUUGGAAACUGGGAAACUUGAGUGCAGAAGAGGAGAGUGGAAUUCCACGUGUAGCGGUGAAAUGCGUAGAGAUGUGGAGGAACACCAGUGGCGAAGGCGACUCUCUGGUCUGUAACUGACGCUGAGGAGCGAAAGCGUGGGGAGCGAACAGGAUUAGAUACCCCAGUAGUCCCUGUCUCUUAUAA
rnacentral:rRNA from 1 species